CUUGUUAGCUGAGGCAAGACAUUUUCCUGGACUGCAUACUGCAAUCCUCCGGUGACUUCUGUGGCUUCUUCUGGAACUCUUCAGCUUCAGCUCCGAAAACCAGGCCAUAGGUGGGAGCCUUGUGGGAGAUAGUAAAGGCUGGGACAGACAUUUCCAGCAGGUACAACCUGGGCAGAUCAGCUGCAUUUCCCUCAGAGGAGCAUUAUUUAUAUUCCCAUCUGUUAAAUCUUCGUUGUGUGUUCUCAUGGCUGUGGCAGGGUGAGAGCUGAGGAUCCCUGGCACGUUCUUCCACAUCCCAGUUUGUCCUGCACCCUAACUUAUGGGUUAACUUGAAGCUCUGAGCUGGUUUCACAUUCCCUAAGCCCAAGAAGGGAUCUCAAGAUGGGACAUAUUGGCAAGGCAUCUGUUUUGGCUAGCAGCAAUGCACAAGUGGAGGCACCUUCCUAGCAUGGCAUCUCUCCACAGCAGCAGUAAAAAACAAUUUCAAAAGUGAAAAAAAAAAUUAAAAAUUCAAUGGGAAGAGAGAAAUGCAGAGACUGGAGUGUCUUCUCCCUGCAGCUCAGCUGGGCCUGCCUUUCCCCCAUGGUUCCUGAUAAUGUUUUGAAGUCCUGGAUGCUCCUGGCCACAUCUGGAUUCUCUUUCUCUCUUCACUCAUUCACUGCCCAAGAGUGGACUUAACCUGCGGAGUUGCUGUUUUCCCUGUGAAGAAUUACUUUAUUUAAACACCCUCAUUCCUUGAUCCUCUCCAUCUCUCCAAUCCUUCCCCUGCAAAAAUAAAGCAGGGGAUGGAAGCCACUGUUGGCACCAAGCUUGGCAUGCAUGGAAAAAUGGGCCAUAGCAGCUGUGAGAACCUCAAUUACCUUCAAAUGGAAAAUUAAUGACUGAACCUCAGUGUCUCAGAGCUGGAGAGAUUUUCUUCUCAUUUACUCAAAACUAAAAAGGAGAGCCAAGGUGAGGUUUGCUCAUAUGGAUCCUUGAGGAAAUUGAUAUGCAAGGGACUUCUCACUGUGUUGCUUUCCAUGAAAGGAAUUUCUCUGCAAAUAUUGAAUGCUGGGAAAGUCAUGGAGGUGUGACCACAUUCCCUUUUUCUCUAUUAAAUUGUUUUCACCUCCAUUAAAAUUAAAACAAAAUUAGGAGGUUUAAUUCAUCUGGAAAACUCCCUUCUGAUCCUUUCAAUUGAAGGAAAAUUGCUGGUGAAGUCCCUCAUUCAUGGAGGAAGAGCUGGAGGGAGAUUCAAGGCAUGCCAUGCUCCUCUCUGGGGCAUAUUCAUGCCACACCAAUGCACCUCUGCACUAAUCAGAGGGUUUCCCAAGAGAGUGGCAGCUCUGCUGUGUCCUGUGUCACUUAC